rnacentral:rRNA from 1 species
AUUGAACGCUGGCGGCAGGCUUAACACAUGCGAGUCGAGCGGAGAUGAGGUGCUUGCACCUUAUCUUAGCGGCGGACGGGUGAGUAAUGCUUAGGAAUCUGCCUAUUAGUGGGGGACAACAUUCCGAAAGGAAUGCUAGUACCGCAUACGUCCUACGGGAGAAAGCAGGGGAUCUUCGGACCUUGCGCUAAUAGAUGAGCCUAAGUCGGAUUAGCUAGUUGGUGGGGUAAAGGCAUACCAAGGCGACGAUCUGUAGCGGGUCUGAGAGGAUGAUCCGCCACACUGGGACUGAGACGCGGCCCAGACUCCUACGGGAGGCAGCAGUGGGGAAUAUUGGACAAUGGGGGGAACCCUGAUCCAGCCAUGCCGCGUGUGUGAAGAAGGCCUUAUGGUUGUAAAGCACUUUAAGCGAGGAGGAGGCUACUGAGACUAAUACUCUUGGAUAGUGGACGUUACUCGCAGAAUAAGCACCGGCUAACUCUGUGCCAGCCGCCGCUGUAA